AACACAUGCAAGUCGAGGGGCAGCGCGGGUAGCAAUACCCUGGCGGCGACCGGCGAAAGGGUGAGUAACGCGUGAGCAACGUGCCCGCAGUUGGGGGAUAGUCAAUUGGAAACGAUGCGUAAUACCCCGUAACACAUUUUCUCGCAUGGGGAGAUGUUGAAAGAUAUUAUUGACUGCGGAUCGGCUCGCGUGCCAUUAGGUAGACGGCGGGGUAACGGCCCACCGUGCCGACGAUGGCUAGGGGUUCUGAGAGGAAGGUCCCCCACAUUGGAACUGAGACACGGUCCAGACUCCUACGGGAGGCAGCAGUGAGGAAUAUUGGACAAUGGCCGGAAGGCUGAUCCAGCCAUGCCGCGUGCGGGAGGACGGCCUAUGGGUUGUAAACCGCUUUUGCCGGGGAGCAAUAAGCGCCACGCGUGGCGCGACGAGAGUACCCGGCGAAUAAGCAUCGGCUAACUCCGUGCCAGCCGCGGC
rnacentral:rRNA from 1 species